GCAGAGGUAGCCAAGCGGCUAAGGCAGCAGGCUGCAACCCUGCGAUUCGAGGGUUCGAGUCCCUCCCUCUGCU
rnacentral:tRNA from 1 species